rnacentral:rRNA from 1 species
AAUAAGGCACAAGUUAAUAGACCAACGGCGUAAAGCGUGGUUAGAGACUACCUCAAAAUAAAGUCGAAAGCCUUUUGGGCCGUUCCAAGUGUACAAAGGCAUGAAGCUCCACUACGAAAGUGACUUUACAACAAAGACCCUUGAAUCCACGAAAGCUUAGGUACAAACUGGGAUUAGAUACCCCACUAUGCUAAGCCUUAAACAUAGACAUACUCUGUCCGCCAGGGUAUUACGAGCAUCAGCUUAAAACCCAAAGGACUUGGCGGUACUUUACACCCACCUAGAGGAGCCUGUCCUAUAACCCGAUAGUCCCCGUUAAACCUUACCCCUUCUUGUUCAUUCCCGCCUAUAUACCGCCGUCGUCAGCCUACCCUGUGAAGGUUUGAAAGAACGCUCAAUUGGUAUAACCCAAAACGUCAGGUCGAGGUGUAGCGAAUGAAGGGGAAAGAGAUGGGCUACAUUUUCUGUAUCAGAAAAUUACUGAAGGGUAGAAUGAAACAAACCCUGAAGGAGGAUUUAGCAGUAAGUCUAGAAUAGAGUGCUAGACUGAAGCCGGCCAUAAAGUGCGCACACACCGCCCGUCACUCUCCCUAGAAACAUUAAUUAUAGAACUUAACACAAAUACUAUUCAAAAGGGAGGCAAGUCGUAACAUGGUAAGUG